AAGUCGAGCGGCAAGGGGUAGCAAUACCCCCUAGAGCGGCGGACUGGUGAGUAACGCGUGGGUGACCUACCCUUAGGUUGGGGAUAGCCUUAGAAAUAGUGGGUAAUACCGAAUAUAGUUGUUUUGCUAUGGCGAGACAAAGAAAGGAGCCUUGGCUCCGCCUGAGGAUGGGCCCGCGUCCCAUUAGGUAGUUGGUGAGGUAAAGGCCCACCAAGCCCGAGAUGGGUAGCCGGCCUGAGAGGGUGAACGGCCACACUGGGACUGAGAUACGGCCCAGACUCCUACGGGAGGCAGCAGCUAAGAAUAUUCCGCAAUGGACGAAAGUCUGACGGAGCGACGCCGCGUGUAUGAAGAAGGCCGAAAGGUUGUAAAGUACUUUUCUUGCUGAAGAAUAAGCGUGGGAGGGAAUGCCCGCGUGAUGACGGUAAGCAAGGAAUAAGCCCCGGCUAAUUACGUGCCAGCAGCCGCGGUAACACGUAAGGGGCGAGCGUUGUUCGGAAUUAUUGGGCGUAAAGGGCGCGUAGGCGGUUACGUAAGUCUGGCGUGAAAGGCAGGGGCUUAACUCCUGGACUGCGCUGGAAACUGCAUAACUUGAGUCAUGGAGGGGGAGUUGG
rnacentral:rRNA from 1 species